rnacentral:misc_RNA from 1 species
CACGUGAGGCUUUAUUUGGGGA